UGGGGAAUCUUGGACAAUGGGGGCAACCCUGAUCCAGCCAUGCCGCGUGAGUGAUGAAGGCCUUAGGGUCGUAAAGCUCUUUCGCCUGUGAAGAUAAUGACGGUAGCAGGUAAAGAAACCCCGGCUAACUCCGUGCCAGCAGCCGCGGUAAUACGGAGGGGGUUAGCGUUGUUCGGAAUUACUGGGCGUAAAGCGCACGUAGGCGGACCAGAAAGUUGGGGGUGAAAUCCCGGGGGCUCAACCCCGGAACUGCCUCCAAAACUAUUGGUCUAGAGUUCGAGAGAGGUGAGUGGAAUUCCAAGUGUAGAGGUGAAAUUCGUAGAUAUUUGGAGGAACACCAGUGGCGAAGGCGGCUCACUGGCUCGAUACUGACGCUGAGGUGCGAAAGUGUGGGGAGCAAACAGGAUUAGAUACCCUGGGUAGUCCACGCCGUAAAACGAUGAAUGCCAGUCGUCGGGUAGCAUGCUAUUCGGUGACACACCUAACGGAUUAAGCAUUCC
rnacentral:rRNA from 1 species